AUAAAUAAAAUCCUUUUUUAAAAAAUCUGUUUUGUUCACUGAUCUAUUCCAAGCUCCAAGCCCAUAGAAGUCACUCAGUACAGAUGGGCUGAAUACCCUGCCCUUUAAUGAUUCCGUCCCUUUAUAAACCGCUGCUCCCUCUGCCUUCAUCCUGGCUCUAUCUACCUGGCACACCCCUGUUCUACUUGGAGAAGUCUCUUCCGAUUUUCCCAAAUUGCUUUCUUUUGCCCUCCUGUUGGCCCUCUUUUAACACCUGUCAUUGUACUCUAAUGAUACAUUUACAUUCAUUUAUUUCCCUUACUAAACUGUAAGCUUUUUAAGGAAGGCACAAUAUCUAACUCACCUUUGUAAUCCUAGCCUAUCGCAUUAUCUAUCUGGCUUGUGUAUAGUAGGUUUUCAAACAAUGAAACAGCAAACUGUCCUUACUGUGUUUGGUGCGGGGUUGAUAAACAGCAGAGUUUGGUGGCAGUUUGCCACAGAGGGAGAUGCAGGCCUGGGGGACUCGUUUCCUGGAGGCCUGCAGGCUGGGACUGCUCUAGAGCUGAUAGCAGCUGAGUCACUCCCGCAUCUCAGCCUCUAACUCGGAAACACAGAUCGGGAGCCCUGAUUAACAGCCCCUUCCUGGGCAAGGUGAGAGUGCAGGACUGCCGUUGCGUAAGGCCUGGGAGGGAAGAGUGAGCCGGUGGGCGGCAGAAGAUCUUUUAUAGAAGACCUAGCUUGAAAUCUGAAAACCCCAGAAAUUCCUUAAGAACUGACCAUCUUAACUCCUUUCCUUGCCAAGCCUGCAUGUCUGGAUUUAUAUCCUUAGUAGAACUGAAGGAAGCACAUCAUAGGCAGGUUUAUAACCCACGCUUUUCCUCCUUGGAUUUACACAUGCGACCUAUGGAUGGUUUUUAUAAGAAUCAUCUGUUGGAUACUUACGCAAAGUAGGAAAGGUUAUCUUCAGGGGCUCUGAGUUUUAAUGCAUUCCAGUGUCGUCAAAUCCAAAAGCAAUGAAAACACUGUUGUGUGGUUUUGAAUCAUAGCCUCCUUGUUAAAAUAGCUAUUGUUUCUCCUAAAACAGCCUGCAUUUCUACCUUGAUGUCAUCUCACUCUGGGCCUCAAGGGGGUAUGGGACUUACUAGAACUAAUGAAUACAUAUAGUUCUGAGGUAACAGUGGAUUCUAAGGUGAUGAUAGGAAAUUAGUCACCAACUUUAGUGACCCUCAGGUGGAGUAGAAUGAGAGCCACGUAAGCCCAGGAUUGGUUAAACAAACAAACAAGUGAUAUCAGCCAAAUAAAAAUUAAGUCAGAAGUGGUGUUUUGAUCAUCACUGCUUGACCUGGGACCCUGUGAGCGUUUCACCUGCCUUGACUCUGCUGGUGGAAAGAAGUAUGCCUUAUUAUGUGAUGCUCACGUUACUAGGACAUGGGGAAACUAUCGUCCACUACACCCAAGGCUCCAGAUCUUACCCCCACUGCACUGAGGCUAAAUACCAAAGCCAAACGGCCCUUGAUUCCAGACCCUUGACUUGGUUUGCUCUCCCAUCACCAUCUGACUCUUCAUCCCAGAAGAAAUCUGCCGAUAAAGACUCAGUAAUAACCUCGCAAAGUUAUCAGUGCAGAGAACACAAAUAGGUGACAAAACCCAUCUCUUAUCUCUCUUAAGACGGUAUCUGUCGCUGCAUGCUGCAUGUUUUCCUUAUUUGUCCAUCUCUAUGACAGCAAAGACCUCUUGCAGGUUAACAACAGAAGCCACCCGUCCUAGAAGAUUGGAGACAAAAUGUUACUCUCCUCACUUUCCACCCGCAAAAAUGAGAUGAAGUGGAACUAUUUGCCUGAGGACUCAUAGUCUAGUGGAAGAGGUAGCAGGAUAAACGAUCACAAACCGCACAAUGACGAUACAGCACGUAAAUACGCACAACGGAAGUCCGCCUACUGUGCUACAGCAGUACACGCAGAAGAGGUGGAAGAAGGCUGGGGUGGACGGCGGGACACAUGAGACUGUGAACACCUACAAAGGACGCCUUCCAAGAGCACGUCCUCCGGAGAAGCGGAGAUAAAGAUAACCAAGAAAACUAUCCCUGCCCUUGAGGAACCCACACUUCAGUGAGUCAUAUAACCUACCAAGUAAUUAGAAUGGAAAUGCUCAAAGCGGUUGGAUGCGAGAGUCUGGGCCCCGAGGAGCAGUGCGGUUUGGGGCACUCUUCAGCCUGGGUAGUAGUUAAAACCAUGAGUUCACCCAAAGAGAAUGUAAGAAAUGAAAAGCACUCAGGAGACACCCGUGUUUAAGGGGUGAAGGUCAGAGAAAGGAGGCCAAGAAGGAAUAAUAGUAAUCAAAGACGCGAGGAAGAGCUGGAAGAAUGAGCCACGGACGUCAGCCCUCCUAGAGCCUUAAUAUCGCUAAUAUUCCUCACAAUUCACUGUGUGUCAGCUACUGUUCUAAGCAUGUUUCAUAUGUUCACACAUAUGACCCUUAUCCUACAGAGAAAACAGAUUCACCCACCCAAGGGCACACACCUACUAAGAAAUAAAGAUCAGAAUCCCAG